rfam:Ipomoea nil DNA, scaffold: scaffold2283, cultivar: Tokyo-kokei standard.
GUGGGCGUGGCGGAGUGGUUAUUGGGCAUGACUAGAAAUCAUGUGGGCUUUGCUCGUGUAGGUUCGAAUCCUGUCGCUCACA